GUGUUGGUGGACGAGUGGCUUAGUCGUAGGUCUGCAAAACCUACUAGAGGGGUUCGAAUCCCUUCCAACACUCA
rnacentral:tRNA from 1 species